GCCCAACUCGACCUUCUCCCAAUCGAUGAUAGAUGGCGCUGAAGCAGCAGAUGAUGAUAAUGAGUCAGGAUACUCAUCUGUCAGUCUCUUUCUCAGUGAUGACGACCAAUCAUCAAGUUCAUCUGAUCCAUCCCUCCACAGUGAUUGGUCAAAUGGAAAAAUGAUUGCUUUAAAGAAACUAGAAAAAAGUGACCCAAACAAGUAUCAAACAUGGCGACUUCUGCAGAAACAGAAGAAACUCAU